rnacentral:rRNA from 1 species
UACGAAGGGGGCUAGCGUUGCUCGGAAUUACUGGGCGUAAAGGGCGCGUAGGCGGAUAGUUUAGUCAGAGGUGAAAGCCCAGGGCUCAACCUUGGAAUUGCCUUUGAUACUGGCUAUCUUGAGUUCGGGAGAGGUGAGUGGAAUGCCGAGUGUAGAGGUGAAAUUCGUAGAUAUUCGCAAGAACACCAGUGGCGGAGGCGGCUCACUGGCCCGAUACUGACGCUGAUGCACGAAAGCGUGGGGAGCAAACAGG